UUAACUUCUACUCAGGAAAGCAUUGCAAAAUCCAAUUGCGAGUAAUAGAAUCCGUCUUGCAGAGUGACCAAAGGAAAACGAAAGCUGCGGGUAUUCUGAGAUCCAUAUAAAAUUCUCAAAGAACAAGAGAAGUUGAAAUGACGACUAGGACUACUUUGGACCAGCCAUCAACUUCAACCAUUACUCCUCUCUUUGAUGACCAGAUCAGAGAGUACAGAAGGAACCAACAAAGACUAUAUAAUGCCGGGCAAGCUACAAGAAAACUUGGACGAAGACUCUCUGGAGGAUCAACCUCUGCGCACACGCUGAAACAACAAAUUGAUACACAAGCCCAACUAAGAUUGUUCAUGCAAGAAAGGGAAGCCUUAGUACCUGCGGAAGUAUUAUACCACUCCAGACGGGAUGACGCUCAUCAUCGUGUAUAUGCACAUAGAUCUGAAGAACCCAUCCUAGUUAUAGAAGGAAACCAACUUGAUCGAUCCUUCAUCCAGGAAGAUAGCUUUAGACAACUUCAACGAAGCCAUAUGCAAUAUAUUCACCUUGGAGUUCUUCAGGAAUAUACAGAUAUCCAUUCAAACAAGGGGAUAUGACCAGUGGCAACACGUCGAAGCCAUCCUCUCAUCACAAGGGGAAUGGUAGAGCGACUCUCCAAUACCCCCAAUAUAGGCUUUGCCUAGGAAAUACAGGCAGUAGUGGAAUACCUAACAAGCCACGGUGUCCGAACUUUGCCCGGCAAAUGAUAUUCAACUUCAAGUCUACAAGGAUUAAACUGGGUGAUUAAACCCACCCAAGUUUUUAUACCUAUGCAGUCAUCCGAAGUUAACACUAGCAAUCUCAUGGAUGGGCGCAUAUCCUUGAGCUUCAAUAAUUAUCUUGCCUCUUCAUCAGCAUGAACAGCUAGCUAUAAUAGCAAAGAUGAAGAAAUUCAAAGUGAUGAGGAAACAUUCCAUACAUUAGCCGUCUUGGUAGGACAAACUCUUGAUGAUCCUACUUAUGGAGAGGGAGACAAUUAUUAUGAACCUGUUCAAGACACUGAAACUCAACCUUUUGUUCUGGUACACAAAAUUUCUCCUUGUGCAGUAAUUCCUCAACAAAAAUCUGCUAAUACUGCAGGUUUUGACUUAGUCACAAAUGAGCCAUGCAUUAUCAAGGCUAAAGGUAGAGGAAAUUUUUCCACUAGCAUUUCCCUGGAAAUCCCAUAUGGCAGCUAUGGCCGAAUUGCCACCAGAUCAAGCGUCGCCUGGAACCUAGGCCUUGAUGUUAGGACUGGAGUUAUUGACAGCGACUAUCGAAGAGAAAUUAUUGUCCUCUCCUUCAAUCAUUCUGAUGAACCCAUACAAAUCCAACCAGGUGAUUGUGUUGCUCAGAUAAUUUUUUUAAAAAAUCUUAACACCAAAUGUUUAUGAAAUUUCCCAACGUUUAAGUACAACCGUUUGAGGAGAUGGUGGAUCUGGCUCUACCUCUCCAACAUCACCAACAAUAUUCUCAAAAUUACUCCCAAAAGAGAAGCAUAUCCACUCUGCCUUUGCUGAGAAAGAAACACUCAUCUGGCAUCUACAGGAAGAUUUUGGGUUAGACUAUGCAGAAGAUACAAGCCCAGGGGCCUCUGUACUCCGGUCAAUAGACCCUGCCUUGAAAAUCCCAAAGAAGCCAAUGACUAUAUUUGGCAGCUUCAAUAUAUGGCUUUAAUUACAGAAACAAUCUCUGCUGACCAACCAGUUUGGGAUACAUAUUCUAACGAUGAGGAAGAAUGGCUUAACCCUUUCGCAAUAGAAGGUGGUGGGGUGAACACCCAAUCUUCCUCCCAAUUACUUGCCAAGGGUACGAACUCGAGUACCCAAGUCUACACCGCCUUAUGGAGCAACA